rnacentral:rRNA from 1 species
GGAGGGUGCAAGCGUUAAUCGGAAUUACUGGGCGUAAAGCGCACGCAGGCGGUUUGUUAAGUCAGAUGUGAAAUCCCCGCGCUUAACGUGGGAACUGCAUUUGAAACUGGCAAGCUAGAGUCUUGUAGAGGGGGGUAGAAUUCCAGGUGUAGCGGUGAAAUGCGUAGAGAUCUGGAGGAAUACCGGUGGCGAAGGCGGCCCCCUGGACAAAGACUGACGCUCAGGUGCGAAAGCGUGGGGAGCAAACAGGAUUAGAUACCCUGGUAGUCCACGCUGUAAACGAUGUCGAUUUGGAGGUUGUGCCCUUGAGGCGUGGCUUCCGGAGCUAACGCGUUAAAUCGACCGCCUGGGGAGUACGGCCGCAAGGUUA